AGAAGAGUGCUCACUCUGCCUCGAUUUCUCGACACUGGAAAUGUAAUUGCAGAUCUUUUGCUCCGGUAGCAGCUAUUUCUCUGACAUUUUUGUGAGAUAGGUGUCAGAAUAUUCCUGCCUGCCCAUCCAGAGGCUUCCUUCUUGCCUGCGGUCAGAGACACCAAAACUAAUGAUAUCAAACUUUCACCCUGAGGAAAGGAUGAGAUGAGCUUACUGGUUUUCCUCCACACCUGAGCACCACGGGCACAAAAUGAAAUCCAGACUCCAGGUGUGGAGCAUGAUCACGCCACUCUGACUGACCGAGAGAUCAUGUGUGGUUAGACCUUGUUUGUCACUUUUAUAGUUUAAUGUACACAUGCAUGGUGCGAAGUUAGGGUUCUGUCCAGUUGUUACCUCCACAAAGGAAGCUACUUCUUAGGUUCUUAGGUGUGUGUGUGUG